CUCUCUCUCUCUCUCUCUCGCAGCCAUUCCUUCCAUUGGAGGGUCGUCAGCAAGUUUUCACCAGUCGUACAAUGGACGCAAUUCUAGGAGCCAUCAGUCUCAUCGUUCGAAAGGUCACCGACAUCAGUGUAGUCAAAGAGAAGAUGGAUUCUCUCGAAAGGAAUAUGGGAAUGGUGUCGGCCAGGAAUGCGGACAUAAGUUUGGAACUAGAGCAGGAAGAGAGCAGACCGAGGAAGAAAAGGAAGAGAGAAGUUGAGUUGUGGAUGCAAAGUGUAGGAUCGGUGGAGGAUCAAGUCCACGAGUUACGACGCAAAGUGAAAGAGGCGCGUUUCUUUUCUCGUCUCAUGUUGGUGGAUCAAGUGACCGGCCUGGUGACUGAAGUGGACAAAUUGCACGAGAAGGGUAGAUUUGAUAAUGGUCUCACGCUGGAUGUGAAACCAGCCCGAGGCUGUGAACUACAACCAGGUGAACUAGCAGGACAAGCUUCUCGAACAAACAGGUAUGAGAUCUGGGAGUACUUGAUGAACGAAAAGGUGCUCCGAGUGGGCACUUACUAGGGGUGUCUCCAAAAUCAAAAGAAGGGAUCUAAGAUCCCAUGUAGAACAUUAGGAUGAAUCGGGUGAAGGGUCUCCGAGUGGGCACUUGCUACGGGUGUCUCCAAAAUCAAAAGAAGGGGUCUAGGAUCCCAUUUAGAACAUUAGGAUGAAUCGGGUGAAGGGUCUAUGACCCAGCUUCUUCACCCUCGCACUGUCCAUGAUGAACGGAAACAGGCCACCACCGAUCUUGGCCCUCACAAGCGGCUGCAGCACUCAUCUUCAUGCCGCCGUGGCCAACCUCUGUCGUGUCUCUCUUCCCCCUCGCUCAGGUCACGGGGUCUAAGCCCAUCUCCAUCUCUCUCCAGCUUCGUUUCUCUUUCUCAUCCUGGUCUUCAUGGUCUCGCUCCGGCCCCGACACAGAAUUUCACUGCCUCCAGUUUCAAUGCCAUGCCUUCGCGGCCUCAAUUUUAGGCCAACCAAGUUGCCUGACCAAGGAUCAAGGCUGAUUGGGAAUGGUUUGGCGGUGUGUCGUUGGUAUGCAAACAACCAGAACUUCCCUGCUGCGACUAUAUUCUUCUGGCUUCGCUUCUCGAUUGCAGAGGGGGCUCCACUGUGUUGCUUCCGCUGAAGACGACUCUUCACAAUCCGCAAAAAAUGCUGAAGCUGAGGUCUUGGUCUGGUGGCAGAGCUGAAGUUUAAAGUUGGGGCGGUGUUGUUUGAAAUCCUUCUUGUUGGUCUCUCUGGACUUUGGCGACCUUCACGCCAUGCAUCUUGCUUUUCUGUAAUUGAAAGCAAAACUUUUUCUUUUUGGGGCUGAAAAGUAGAUUGACAGAAUAAGGUUGACUUUGGUCCUCCAUCUUUUCUUGAAGAACAAGUUUGAGAUUAACCUUAUCGUGAGUUGGAGGAUGAUAGUUGUCCCCUACCGUAUCUGUGAACUUCUUGAAUUUUCCAGUUUCCUUCGAACUGCACUGUUAAAGAUGGACCUGAUUGGAGAUUGGAAGGUUAUAGAUUAGGUUGCUGAAUGAGUUCAGAUUUUUCCAUAGCUUGGAGUUUUUUCCCUUGUUUUUGUGUGGUGUAUGUUUAAAGAAGGGAAAAUGA